GGGCCUUGCAGGAAGGCCAAAGCUUGUGCCUCUUACUUUAGCUGCAAGGGGAGCCAGGAAUUUAAGCAGAAGUGUGCACAGUCAGAGUGGGUCACAGGCUCCCACGGACACGGCAGAGAACAGCAUGAGGAGGAGGAACGCGCUCUGACUCUCAGAUGCCUCUGCCAGCAGUGACACCUGUCCUUUCCACCACAUUGCACCAGCCAAGACAAACGCUAUGCCCUAAUUUCAGGGGGACAUGAACCCUAAAGAAGAGAGAAGCAGAAAUCUCGGUGGGCUGUUGGGAGCCCUAGAGCAGUGUGGAAGCAGAACGUGGAAAUUCAGAGCGGAGACUGUGUAUGGGAAGAUGAAUGACAGGUACCACUGGACUGUCGGGCCCAGCCAUCUCAGUCUUGCACACCGAGCAUGUUUUAACCUUCAUUGUCUCUGGCCUCAUUUCUUUAUUCUGCCCCUGGAUUGAACCCCUAGACCAAGCCUGAGUUCCCGGUGGCUGAGCCAGG